rnacentral:lncRNA from 1 species
CAGGAACUAACAUUUCAUGAGAGUUUCUAAUUCUGAUGCUUCAGACAAGUGUAAGUCCUUGGCUACUUAAUCAAACCCAGGAUCUUCAGCAGGACUAUUUUAAUGAGAAAAGACAACCAGAAAGAACUUGUAGCACUGCAGCUAAACUGUUCCUGGGCCUUAUAUUCCAGCCAGAGCUGAAGGCACAUUUGCAGAUAAUACCAUGUGAGUGUCAUCAAAAGCUUCCAGAGGGAAAGGACACAACAGUG